rnacentral:rRNA from 1 species
UACGUAGGGGGCAAGCGUUGUCCGGAAUUAUUGGGCGUAAAGCGCGCGCAGGCGGUCAUUUAAGUCUGGUGUUUAAUCCCGGGGCUCAACCCCGGUUCGCAUUGGAAACUGGAUGACUUGAGUGUAGGAGAGGAAAGUGGAAUUCCACGUGUAGCGGUGAAAUGCGUAGAGAUGUGGAGGAACACCAGUGGCGAAGGCGACUUUCUGGCCUAUAACUGACGCUGA